GAUGAACGCUGGCGGCGCGCCUAACACAUGCAAGUCGAACGGCACCCCUCCUCGGAGGGAAGCGAGUGGCGACCGGCUGAGUAACACGUGGAGAACCUGCCCCCUCCCCCGGGAUAGCCGCCCGAAAGGACGGGUAAUACCGGAUACCCCGGGGUGCCGCAUGGCACCCCGGCUAAAGCCCCGACGGGAGGGGAUGGCUCCGCGGCCCAUCAGGUAGACGGCGGGGUGACGGCCCACCGUGCCGACAACGGGUAGCCGGGUUGAGAGACCGACCGGCCAGAUUGGGACUGAGACACGGCCCAGACUCCUACGGGAGACAGCAGUGGGGAAUCUUGCGCAAUGGGGGGAACCCUGACGCAGCGACGCCGCGUGCGGGACGGAGGCCUUCGGGUCGUAAACCGCUUUCAGCAGGGAAGAGUCAAGACUGUACCUGCAGAAGAAGCCCCGGCUAACUACGUG
rnacentral:rRNA from 1 species